AGAAGAAGAAGAAGAAGAAGAAUCAGGAGAAUCAGGAGAAGAAAGGAGGUGGAAGAAGAAGAAGAAGAAGAACAAUCGGGAGAGGAAGAAUGAGGAGAAGAUGAAGAAUUAGGAGAAGAAGGAGAAGAAGGAGAGGAAGAAGUGGAAUAAUAAUAAUAAUAAUAAUACUAAUAAUAAUAAGAAGAAGAAGAAGAAGGAGAGGAAGAAGAUUGAGAAGAAGAAGAAGGAGGAGAAGAUGGAGAAGGAGAAGUAGGAGAAGGAGAAGAAGGAGAAGGAGAAGAAGAAGAAGGAGAAGGAGAAGUAGAAGAAGAAGAAGGAGAAGGAGAAGAAGAAGAAGGAGAAGAAGG
rnacentral:lncRNA from 1 species